AAAGAAUUAGUUAAAUAAUAACAUUAGAAUGUCAAACUAAAAUUAUUAAAUUAUUAAUACUCUUUA
rnacentral:tRNA from 1 species